rnacentral:rRNA from 1 species
AAUAGAUACCCAGGUAGUCCACGCCGUAAACGAUGUCGACUUGGAGGUUGUGCCCUUGAGGCGUGGCUUCCGGAGCUAACGCGUUAAGUCGACCGCCUGGGGAGUACGGCCGCAAGGUUAAAACUCAAAUGAAUUGACGGGGGCCCGCACAAGCGGUGGAGCAUGUGGUUUAAUUCGAUGCAACGCGAAGAACCUUACCUACUCUUGACAUCCAGAGAACUUAGCAGAGAUGCUUUGGUGCCUUCGGGAACUCUGAGACAGGUGCUGCAUGGCUGUCGUCAGCUCGUGUUGUGAAAUGUUGGGUUAAGUCCCGCAACGAGCGCAACCCUUAUCCUUUGUUGCCAGCGGUUAGGCCGGGAACUCAAAGGAGACUGCCAGUGAUAAACUGGAGGAAGGUGGGGAUGACGUCAAGUCAUCAUGGCCCUUACGAGUAGGGCUACACACGUGCUACAAUGGCAUAUACAAAGAGAAGCGACCUCGCGAGAGCAAGCGGACCUCGUAAAGUAUGUCGUAGUCCGGA